GAAGGGUGGAGAGGUCGUAACAAGGGUUUCCGUAGGUGAACCUGCGGAAGGAUCAUUAU
rnacentral:rRNA from 1 species